rnacentral:lncRNA from 1 species
GGCCUUAGGAGAAAGAAAACAGCCUGCCAGGAGGCGCCGAAGACAGCACAGCCACCAGGAGAACCAGCUCCACAGGAGUUUAUGUUUUCCCUUCAUAGACAUGGGGCCUGGGGAGCGGGCUAGAAAAUCUGUCAGAAGACCUUUGCAAGGAUUCAAAUCCACCAAUUCAAAAGAAAAAUCUAAUAAGACUGAUCCAGUUAAAGAUAAAACAGAAAAAAGGAGAAGUGGGGAAACCUGGCUUCUAAUUCUGGAUCUAUCUCCUUCUAGCUGUGUGACCCUGGACAAGUUACUUGGCCUCUCUGAGCAGGUGUGUGGAGAUUCUUCCCCUGGGUUAGAUUAGAGGCUUCAGAAGGCCUGGGAUCCCACACUGCUGUCAUUUUCUUUCCAUAAAGAGAAAAGUGUCUUUCUGACAAUAACUUGAUUACCAACGUGGGAUAAAUCCCUCUUCCCGAAAUGCAGUCCUGAGGGCUGGAGUUGGGACAGGGUGGAAUGCAGUACCCUGCCUCUUCGAUACCAGCUCCAAUUCAUGUUGCCAUGGGAACAGAUGGGGAGCAUCACUCCAGCCUGGGGAAGCCUCAUCUGCACACCCUCAAAGGGGGCUAGGCAUCGAUGGGAGCCUAUCCCAUAGGGCUUCCCAACCUCUCCUCCUGUAACAUGUACAUAAGGAGCAUUACUUCUCCAGGAACUUGGAAGAGUAAAAGGAGAGGAAAUGAUGGUUUGGUAAGCUCCUGGUUCAGAGAGUUUUCUGGGUGAGAAAGAGGGAGAGAAAAAGUGGAGAUCUUCUUGGGUGAGCUCACCUUCUACUCUAAGGAUGGCCAACUUUUUCUGUAAUGAGUCAGAUAGUAAAUAUUUGGGGCUUUGGGGGCGUAUGGUCUGUGUUGCAGCUACUCAGCCCCGCCAUUGUGGUGUGAAAACAGCCAUAGACAAUAGGCAAAAGAAUGGAUGUGACUGUGUUCCAA